rnacentral:lncRNA from 1 species
AUUUUACAAUUAAAACUUUUGUAGAUGACUAAUUAAUACUUUUGCAAGGUGAUUAAUUAGUUGCUAUGUGCUGUGAGUGAAAUGAGAAUGAGAGAAAGAGAGACAAGCAAUCACAAACACGAUGUUUAUAGUGGUUCGGAGCUAACCCUUGCUCCUACGUCCACUCCCCAAGCCUCACUUGGGAAUUCACUAUAACCCCUUGGAUUACAGCCGGUUGUU